ensembl:lncRNA
GGAUACUGGGGGAUACUGGGGUGGGAUACUGGGGGGUACUGGGGGAUACUGGGAUGGGAUACUGGGAGAUAUUGGGAGAUACUGGGGGAUACUGGGGAUAUUGGGGUGGGAUACUGGGAGAUAUUGAGGGUACUGGGGGAUACUGGAAGAUAUUGGGGGAUACUGGGAGAUACUGGGGUGGGAUACUGGGAGAUAUUGGGAGAUAUUGAGAGAUACUGGGGUGGGAUACUGGGAGAUAAUGGGGGAUACUGGGGGAUACUGGGAGAUACUGGGAGAUAAUGAGGGAUACUGGGGGAUACUGGGGGAUAUUGGGGGAUAGUGGGGGAUACUGGAAGAUAUUGGAGGAUACUGGGAGAUAUGGGGGUGGGAUACUGGGGGGUACUGGGCAGGAUAUGGGGGAUCACUUGGGGACCGCCUGCCCCACACUUAUGGGGUUCACCGUGAGCCCACUGGGGUCAAUUGGAGAUCUUCUGCCCCACAUCUGUGGGGUUCCAUGUGGGCUCAUAGGGGUCACCUGGGGACCUUCUGCCCCACACUUAUGGGGAUUGCUGUGGGUUCGUGGGGGUCUGUUGGAGAUGUUCUGCCCCACAUUUAUGGGGUUUCCCAGGGUUUAUGGGGGUCACUUGGAGAGCUGCUGCCCCACACUUAUGGGGUUCCCUAUGGGCUCACGGGGGUCACCUGGGGACCUUCUGCCCCACACUUAUGGGGAUUGCUGUGGGUUCGUGGGGGUCUGUUG